rnacentral:rRNA from 1 species
AUGUGGCGAGCAGCCGCCUCUCGCCUCCUCCUUCACCGUCGGCCGUCUCCGGCAACCGCUACGGCGGCCUGUACUCUGCAAAACCGCCGGCUUUUAUCGGCGAAUGCAGAGUUCACCACGGGGGAGGCUCGGCGAGUGGUGCGGCUUGUUGGCGUCGAGAUGCUCAAGAGGAGUCUGCGGGACCGGUCGGAGGAGGUGAUAAGCUACGGCGAGUUCCUUGAGGAGUGCGUGGAGGCCGGCGCGGCGCGCACACACGGCCAAGCGGAGGUGCUCGCGCGGGCGAUGGAGCAGUCCGGCGUCGUGCUGUUCUUCCGGGGAAAGGUCUAUCUCCACCCCGAAAAGGUUGUCGACCUGGUUAUAAGUGCUUUGCCGCCUUUAGUCGAAGAGAGUGACAGUGACGCGAGAGAAAAAGAGUUUGAGGCACUAAAGAAAAAGAAGCAAGAGAUCGAAACGCAGGCACACAGGCAAGUCAGACGAAUCGUGUGGACAGGUUUGGGGUUCUUGCAGUUGGAACUUGGCCUCAUCGCUCGUCUCACAUACUUGGAGUUUUCGUGGGAUGUGAUGGCGCCAAUGACCUACUUCAUUGCCGGUUUUCACCUGCUUGCCGCCUACGCCUAUUUCCUCAUUACCUCAUCCGAUAUGUCGUAUCGGACCUUCAUGGAGGGGAUGUUCGACACAAGAUGGAGAAAACUCUGCGUCAGACAUGGUUUUGAUAUAGAGAAGUACAGGGAAUUGGAGAGACAAAUAAGGUGUCCCCUUGGAGGUGAACAUUCUAAAGCUGCGACCAAAGGGAUCUUUGCAGAUAUCGAGUGGUGGCUGAGCGACCGCCAAAAAGACCAAGUUGACUACUCUGAUGCCUAUAACAAGUUGCUGUGGAUCAGCAAGGCCAACCCGAACCACCAGAAGGUUUGUGACCUGGUUAAAAGGGCUGUGCCGUUCGCACUCACACCGGAGAACGAGGCGAGAAAAGAAGAGCUUAAACAACUCCAGAAAAUGAUGAAAGAGAUUGAAGGCCGGGCACACAAGCAUGCCAGGCGGAUUAUAUGUUUUGGCUUUGCGUGCCUCAUAUUUCAGUUUGCCCUCUUCUUCCGCCUCACGUACUGGGAGUUCUCAUGGGAUAGAAUAGAGCCGAUCGCUUUCUUCUUUGGCGGAACCCAGCUGGUGUGUGGCUAUGCUUAUUUCAUCAUCACCUCCCGUAAUCCGUCGUUACAAGACUUCCUGCAGACGCUAUUCAUGUCAAGGAGGAGAAAACUAUGCGCCAAGCAAAAUUUCGAUAUGAAGAGGUACCUGGAAUUGCAGAAGCACUCGGGCUGUCCUCGGAAAGGUGAUUAUUGUUCUCAAGGUCGUAAUUAA